UUGCUACACGAUAUCUACUACCUGAGCUUGCUGGUGCCCGCCUGACACCAAAGCUGUGCAGUCAAGUGGCAGAUGCAUUUGUAAGAAAAUAUGGGAAAUAUGCUGGAUGGGCACAAACUCUACUUUUCAUUGCUGAGCUGCCUGCCCAAAAAACCAUUUUACCAUCUCAAUUUGGGAAUAUCACAGAGAUUAAACCUGCUAUCGAUAAAGACGGUGAAGCAGAUAUUGGAAAUUGUGGCUAUAAAUAGAGUACAUCAUUUUAAGUUAUGUUGUCUGUAUGUUUGAGUUCAAAAUUAAUUUGUUGAAUGCCUUAAGCGAGAACUCCUGAUAUGGGUCACCACCAAAAAAUGGCUUGUAUAUGAAAGAGGAAGUGUUCAAUCUUCCAAUGAAAUCCAUUUUUUGGUGGUGACCCAUAUCAGGA
rnacentral:misc_RNA from 1 species